GCCAGACUCCUACGGGAGGCAGCAGUGGGGAAUAUUGGGCAAUGGGCGCAAGCCUGACCCAGCAACGCCGCGUGAAGGAAGAAGGCCCUCGGGUUGUAAACUUCUUUUGUCAGGGACGAAGAAAGUGACGGUACCUGACGAAUAAGCCACGGCUAACUACGUGCCAGCAGCCGCGGUAAUACGUAGGUGGCAAGCGUUAUCCGGAUUUACUGGGUGUAAAGGGCGUGUAGGCGGGACUGCAAGUCAGAUGUGAAAUUCCAGGGCUCAACCCUGGACCUGCAUUUGAAACUGUAGUUCUUGGGUGAUGGAGAGGCAGGCGGAAUUCCGUGUGUAGCGGUGAAAUGCGUGGAUAUACGGAGGAACACCAGUGGCGAAGGCGGCCUGCUGGACGACAACUGACGGUGAGGCGCGAAAGCGUGGGGAGCAAACAGGAUUAGAUACCCCUGUA
rnacentral:rRNA from 1 species